UGAUAAUCGUCCCCUCUUUGCCAGGCCUUCAGAGAAGUCUGCCAAGAACUGUGAAGAAGACAGUGUUCUAAGAAGGCAGGGACGUGGAGUAUGGAGUGAGGAGGAGUAUCCACUGGAGCCAUUGCAGUAAGCAGCAAGAGAAAGACUAC